CCUACGGGGGGCAGCAGUGAGGAAUAUUGGUCAAUGGGCGAGAGCCUGAACCAGCCAAGUCGCGUGAGGGAGUACUGCCCUAUGGGUUGUAAACCUCUUUUGUCGGGGAGCAAAAGCCGGACGUGUCCGGCUGUGAGAGUACCCGAAGAAAAAGCAUCGGCUAACUCCGUGCCAGCAGCCGCGGUAAUACGGAGGCUGCGAGCGUUAUCCGGAUUUAUUGGGUUUAAAGGGUGCGCAGGUGGAUGUUUAAGUCAGCGGUAAAAUCGUGGGGCUCAACCCCAUCCAGCCGUUGAAACUGGGGAUCUAGAGUGUGCGAGAGGUAUGCGGAAUGCGUGGUGUAGCGGUGAAAUACAUAGAUAUCACGCAGAACCCCGAUUGCGAAGGCAGCAUACCGGUGCACAACUGACGCUCAGGCACGAAAGCGUGGGUAUCGAACAGGAUUAGAUACCCUUGUAGUC
rnacentral:rRNA from 1 species